UACGUAGGGUGCGAGCGUUGUCCGGAAUUAUUGGGCGUAAAGAGCUCGUAGGCGGUGUGUCACGUCGGCCGUGAAAACCUGGGGCUUAACUCUGGGCGUGCGGUCGAUACGGGCAUCACUAGAGUUCGGCAGGGGAGACUGGAAUUCCUGGUGUAGCGGUGAAAUGCGCAGAUAUCAGGAGGCACACCGGUGGCGAAGGCGGGUCUCUGGGCCGAUACUGACGCUGAGGAGCGAAAGCAUGGGGAGCGAACAGG
rnacentral:rRNA from 1 species